rnacentral:rRNA from 1 species
UACGGAGGGUGCGAGCGUUGUCCGGAUUUAUUGGGUUUAAAGGGUGCGUAGGCGGCCGAUGAAGUCUGGGGUGAAAGCCCGUUGCUCAACAACGGAACUGCCCUGGAAACUGGAUGGCUUGAGUACAGACGAGGGUGGCGGAAUGGAUGCUGUAGCGGUGAAAUGCAUAGAUACGAUCCAGAACACCGAUUGCGUAGGCAGCUUACUAGGCUGUAACUGACGCUGAGGCACGAAAGCGUGGGGAGCGAACAGG